GAUGAACGCUGGCGGCGUGCCUAAUACAUGCAAGUCGAGCGAACGGACGAGAAGCUUGCUUCUCUGAUGUUAGCGGCGGACGGGUGAGUAACACGUGGAUAACCCACCUAUAAGACUGGGAUAACUUCGGGAAACCGUAGCUAAUACCGGAUAAUAUUUUGAACCGCAUGGUUCAAAAGUGAAAGACGGUCUUGCUGUCACUUAUAGAUGGAUCCGCGCUGCAUUAGCUAGUUGGUAAGGUAACGGCUUACCAAGGCAACGAUGCAUAGCCGACCUGAGAGGGUGAUCGGCCACACUGGAACUGAGACACGGUCCAGACUCCUACGGGAGGUAGCAGUAGGGAAUCUUCCGCAAUGGGCGAAAGCCUGACGGAGCAACGCCGCGUGAGUGAUGAAGGUCUUCGGAUCGUAAAACUCUGUUAUUAGGGAAGAACAUAUGUGUAAGUAACUGUGCACAUCUUGACGGUACCUAAUCAGAAAGCCACGGCUAACUACGUG
rnacentral:rRNA from 1 species